GGAAGGGGUGUAUUUAUUAGAUAAAAAACCAAUGCCCUUCGGGGCUCCCUGGUGAUUCAUAAUAACUUAACGAAUCGCAUGGCCUUGUGCCGGCGAUGGUUCAUUCAAAUUUCUGCCCUAUCAACUUUCGAUGGUAGGAUAGUGGCCUACCAUGGUUUCAACGGGUAACGGGGAAUUAGGGUUCUAUUCCGGAGAAGGAGCCUGAGAAACGGCUACUACAUCCAAGGAAGGCAGCAGGCGCGCAAAUUACCCAAUCCCGACACGGGGAGGUAGUGACAAUAAAUACUGAUACAGGGCUCUUUUGAGUCUUGUAAUUGGAAUGAGUACAAUUUAAAUACCUUAACGAGGAACAAUUGGAGGGCAAGUCUGGUGCCAGCAGCCGCGGUAAUUCCAGCUCCAAUAGCGUAUAUUAAAGUUGUUGCAGUUAAAAAGCUCGUAGUUGAACCUUGGGCCUGGUUGGCCGGUCCGCCUCACCGCGUGCACUGGUCCGACCGGGUCUUUCCUUCUGGGGAGCCGCAUGCCCUUCACUGGGUGUGUCGGGGAACCAGGACUUUUAC
rnacentral:rRNA from 1 species